rnacentral:rRNA from 1 species
AGUGAACGCUGGCGGUAGGCCUAACACAUGCAAGUCGAACGGCAGCACAGUAAGAGCUUGCUCUUACGGGUGGCGAGUGGCGGACGUGUGAGGAAUACAUCGGAAUCUACUUUUUCGUGGGGGAUAACGUAGGGAAACUUACGCUAAUACCGCAUACGACCUACGGGUGAAAGCAGGGGAUCUUCGGACCUUGCGCGAUUGAAUUAGCCGAUGUCGGAGUAGCUAGUUGGCGGGGUAAAGGCCCACCAAGGCGACGAUCCGUAGCUGGUCUGAGAGGAUGAUAAGCCACCCUGGAACUGAGACACGGUCCAGACUCCUACGGGAGGCAGCAGUGGGGAAUAUUGGACAAUGGGCGCAAGCCUGAUACAGCCAUACCGAGUGGGUGAAGAAGGCCUUCGGGUUGUAAAGCCCUUUUGUUGGGAAAGAAAAGCAGCAGGUUAAUACCCAGCUGUUCUGACGGUACCCAAAGAAUAAGCACCGGCUAACUUCGUG